UGGGGAAUCUUGCGCAAUGGGCGAAAGCCUGACGCAGCAACGCCGCGUGGGGGAUGAAGUCUCUCGGGUUGUAAACCCCUUUCAGCAGGGACGAAUCAAGACGGUACCUGCAGAAGAAGCCCCGGCUAACUACGUGCCAGCAGCCGCGGUAACACGUAGGGGGCAAGCGUUUUCCGGAUUUAUUGGGCGUAAAGAGCUCGUAGGUGUAUGAGUAAGUCGGAUGUUAAAUCCCCAGGCUCAACCUGGGACACCACCCGGUACUGCUCUGGCUAGAGUCCGGUAGGGGAGAGUGGAAUUCCUGGUGUAGCGGUGAAAUGCGCAGAUAUCAGGAGGAACACCAGCGGCGAAGGCGGCGCUCUGGGCCGGUACUGACACUGAGGAGCGAAAGCGUGGGUAGCAAACAGG
rnacentral:rRNA from 1 species